rnacentral:rRNA from 1 species
UACGUAGGUGGCAAGCGUUGUCCGGAUUUAUUGGGUUUAAAGGGUGCGUAGGCGGCUUUGCAAGUCGGGUGUGAAAGCCCUCAGCUCAACUGAGGAAGUGCGCCCGAAACUGCAGAGCUGGAGUCCUGGAGAGGAAGGCGGAAUUCUCGGUGUAGAGGUGAAAUUCGUAGAUAUCGAGAGGAACACCGGUGGCGAAGGCGGCCUUCUGGACAGUGACUGACGCUGAGACGCGAAAGCGUGGGGAGCAAACAGG